AUUAACGCUGGCGGCAUGCCUUACACAUGCAAGUCGAACGGCAGCACGGGGGCGACCCUGGUGGCGAGUGGCGGACGGGUGAGUAAUACAUCGGAACGUAUCCUGGAGUGGGGGAUAACGUAGCGAAAGUUACGCUAAUACCGCAUAUACUGUGAGCAGGAAAGCAGGGGCUCGCAAGACCUUGCGCUCUGGGAGCGGCCGAUGUCGGAUUAGCUAGUUGGUGGGGUAAAGGCCUACCAAGGCGACGAUCCGUAGCGGGUCUGAGAGGAUGAUCCGCCACACUGGGACUGAGACACGGCCCAGACUCCUACGGGAGGCAGCAGUGGGGAAUUUUGGACAAUGGGCGGAAGCCUGAUCCAGCCAUGCCGCGUGAGUGAAGAAGGCCUUCGGGUUGUAAAGCUCUUUCGGUGGGGAAGAAAUUGCACGGGUUAAUACCCUGUGUAGAUGACGGUACCCGACUAAGAAGCACCGGCUAACUACGUG
rnacentral:rRNA from 1 species